ensembl:lncRNA
GGAAGGUUGACAUAGGAGCUCAUAUGAGAAUAGAGACAGUCAUCAGCGCAUGUGAACGACACAUCCAGCAGUGGACUAAAAUUUGAAUAAGAAGAUGCUGCGUUUACUCUUUCUGUUUUUGAUUCUUCGAGGUGCAGCUGCAACAUCAGAAGACACAGAAGGAAAUUAUUCAGGAGAUGACAUCGUUGACGAUGAAGACGGUGAUGCUCCAGUGGAGACAAGGCGUAUUCAAUAUUCAGAUCCUGGAGAAAUUCCUAAAGUAGGUCCCGGAUCAGAUAGAUCCACAGGAGAUGAUGAAGCUAAUGAAGGUGGAACAUUGAUAAUCAUCAUAGCUGCCGUUAGCGUCAUAGUUCUGGCCAUUGGAGGCAUUGUAGCUAUUUUCCUCUUCAGACGCUACUUGCAAAGCCGAGAACAAGGGGUCUACUCUGUGCCAGCAGAGCAAGGACAGAAAGCUGCUGUGUAACCAUGAGGGCCUUUUCAUUUCCUCUCUCCACUGGAUCCUUUCAGGGAUGAGCUGCAAGCAUGUGAUUUCUCAUCCGAACAUGUCUCUAUCUACAGUAUAGCGGAUCCUAUAACGUCAGUAGACGAGAAUGUGUUGCUAUCAUAAAUUUUCUAUGAACUGUUUUUAAAAGCACAAUAUAUACCGUUUAUGCACACAUGCCAUAUGUUGCACUCACAGAGAAAGUCCUUGGACUGUGGAGUACAGCU